rnacentral:rRNA from 1 species
GACGAACGCUGGCUGCGUGCUUAACACAUGCAAGUCGAACGGAGUGGCGAACGGGUGAGUAACACGUGGGUGAUCUGCCUUGCACUUCGGGAUAAGCUUGGGAAACUGGGUCUAAUACCGGAUAGUGCAAGAUGAGCUCGCGGCCUAUCAGCUUGUUGGUGGGGUAAUGGCCUACCAAGGCGUCGACGGGUAGCCGGCCUGAGAGGGUGUACGGCUACAGUGGGAAUGAGUUACGGCCCAGACUCGUACGGGAGGCAGCAGUGUGGAAGAGUGCACAAUGGGCGCCAGCCUGAUGCAGCGACGCUGCGUGGGGGAUGAAUGCUUUCGGGUUGUAACCUCCUUUCGACAGGGACGCGGUACCUGCAUAAGAAGCACCGGCUAACUACGUGCCAGCAGCCGCGGUAAUAC